rnacentral:snRNA from 1 species
AUCACUUCUUGGCCUUUUGGCUAAGAUGAAGUGUAACAUCUGUUCUUACCAGUUGUAUACUUAGAGCUGAUUCACCAAGACAACACUGGAAGGCAAUUUUACUCCAAUUAAAACAUGUUUAGGAAAGUCGUGGAUCAGCCUUGGGGUGCAAGAGGGGGCAGUGGGGCCCAGCCUUA